rnacentral:rRNA from 1 species
AUGAACGCUAGCGGCAGGCUUAACACAUGCAAGUCGAGGGGCAUCGGGAGUAGCAAUACUUGCCGGCGACCGGCGCAAGGGUGCGUAACGCGUGAGCAACAUGCCCGUAUCAGGGGGAUAAUCCAUGGAAACGUGGUCUAAUACCCCAUAGUAAUUAUGUAAGGCAUCUUAUAUAAUUUAAAGCUUUUGGUGGAUACGGAUUGGCUCGCGUGACAUUAGCUGGAUGGUGAGGUAACGGCUUACCAUGGCUACGAUGUCUAGGGGUUCUGAGAGGAAGGUCCCCCCACACUGGAACUGAGACACGGUCCAGACUCCUACGGGAGGCAGCAGUGAGGAAUAUUGGACAAUGGAUGGAAAUCUGAUCCAGCCAUGCCGCGUGCAGGAAAAGACGGCCCUAUGGGUUGUAAACUGCUUUUGUAUGGGAGCAAUAAGGGCUACGUGUAGUCCGAUGAGAGUACCAUACGAAUAAGCACCGGCUAACUCCGUGCCAGCAGCCGC